rnacentral:lncRNA from 1 species
UGAUUUUCCACAAUUCAAACAUGGACGUCUGUAUUAUGAAGAAAGCCGGAGACCCUACUUCCCAGUACCUAUAGGAAAGGAGUACAGCUAUUACUGUGACAACGGGUUUACAACGCCUUCACAGUCAUACUGGGACUACCUUCGUUGCACAGUAAAUGGGUGGGAGCCUGAAGUUCCAUGCCUCAGGCAAUGUAUUUUCCAUUAUGUGGAAUAUGGAGAAUCUUUAUACUGGCAAAGAAGAUAUAUAGAGGGUCAGUCUGCAAAAGUCCAGUGUCACAGUGGCUAUAGUCUUCCAAAUGGUCAAGAUACAAUAUUAUGUACAGAAAAUGGCUGGUCCCCUCCUCCCAAAUGCGUCCGUAUCAAGUCAUGUGAUAUGCCUGUGUUUGAGAAUGCUGUAAUUAAGAAUAAUAGCACAUGGUUUAAACUCAACGACAAAAUAGACUAUGAAUGCCAUGAUGGAUAUGAAAACAAAUAUAAACAAACCAAAGGCUCCAUAACUUGUAAUGAUGAUGGAUGGUCUGAUAAGCCCUCAUGUUAUGAUUCAACAAAGAUCUGUGGGCCUCCUCCACCUAUUGACAAUGGAGACACCACAUCCUUCCCACUACAACGAUACAUACCAUCAUCAUCAGUUGAAUAUCAGUGCCAGUCUUUAUACCAACUGCAGGGCAACAAGACAAUAAUAUGUAUAAAUGGAGAGUGGUCUGAUCCACCAAAAUGUUUAC